rnacentral:pre_miRNA from 1 species
UGAAGCUGCCAGCAUGAUCUAGCUAGCUUUAAUGGUUAUAGAAGAAAUGAUAACCCUAGUUAGGUCAUGCUCUGACAGCCUCACU